UAACUUCUCUUUGAUCCAGGGUUUAUUUAGAUUUGCACUCUUAAAUUUUUAGAUGAAUGGGAAGUUCUAGUUAUCUUUACAAUUUUUAAAAUUAAUUUAGAGCAUGAUUUUUUUUUAAUUUUUUUAUUUAUUUAUGACAGUCACAGAGAGAGAGAGAGAGAGGCAGAGACACAGGCAGAGGGAGAAGCAGGCUCCAUGCACCGGGAGCCCGACAUGGGAUUCGAUCCCGGGUCUCCAGGAUCACGCCCUGAGCCAAAGGCAGGCGCCAAACCGCUGCGCCACCCAGGGAUCCCUAGAGCAUGAUGUUUUAUGUUAAUCAUUUUGGUUUGUAGAAUUGAUAUAACUUUUAAUUAGCACUUAAUGAAUGCUUAAAUAUCUUGAGGAAUAUGUUCUUCAUGCCUAUUGUGCUAGGCUUAUUAAUUUUGUUAUUUAGUUUAUCUAAUACUUUUUGGUUUGGGUUGAUGGAUCUAUCCAAGAAAGCUCUGUUAAAAUCAUAUUACUGUGGUGAAUUUGCGAAUUUCUUCUUGUAAUUCUAUCCGUUGGUUUUCACUUUACAAAAUCAUUAUUUUAUGUAUAGAAGUUUAGAACUGUUUUUUCUUAAAAUAAACGGAAAUAAAAUAAAUAAAUAAGAUUUAUCAAUAUAUGAAUCCAUUUAUUUUUAAUAUUUGUUUUUAUUUGUUUAAAGUCUAGUUUUCUAUAUCUAUGAAGCAGUAUGAACUUUCUUUUGGAUAAAAUUUUCCUGCUAUAUUCUUGUUUGAGUUCUUAAAAAUUGCAACCUGAUAACCUACUUUUCACUGUGGGCUUACUGUGCUUUUUUUUUUUUUUUUUUUUCGUAUAUUCCCAUUUUUCAUAAUACCUAUAUAUUUGGAUUUACUCUAUCAUCGUCCUUUGGACUUUAUGCAAGAGCUCCUUGCACCCUAGGAGAUGGUCCUAGUUUUCGUCUUUUGUUCUCCUGUCCUUGACAGCCAUGAAAAUGCACGGUUCAGAACUUACUUAGCCACGCUAGCUGAAACUGCUGAGAAAUACAAAGAAAUGAGCAAACAUGUUGGUCUUCUCCUUCAUCAGGUCAAAGAUCUUGUUCUCACUUUUUCCCUCCUGGUCCAAUUCCAUUGACACUUGUGGUUAGGCCCAUCAACAUGCUUGAUCUUCCCUGUUGGUAAGAUGAUUACAAUUGCAAUUUAGCAUUUAUCAAAUCUUCAUGACCACAGCCUUUCCAUGUGGUAAAUAUGUAAACUUAAUAAAAUGACAGCUUCCCAUUUACUCUCA
rnacentral:lncRNA from 12 species